rnacentral:rRNA from 1 species
AGAAUCAACGCUGGCGGCGUGCCUAACACAUGCAAGUCGAACGCGAAAGGGGAGCAAUCCCUGAGUAGAGUGGCAAACGGGUGAGUAACACGUGGGUGACCUGCCUCAGAGUGGGGGAUAACGUCCCGAAAGGGACGCUAAUACCGCAUAACAUCCUGCCCUUGGAAGGUGGAGAUCAAAGCCGGGAUCGCAAGACCUGGCGCUUGGAGAGGGGCCCGCGCCUGAUUAGCUAGUUGGUAGGUAACGGCCUACCAAGGCGACGAUCAGUA